rnacentral:rRNA from 1 species
CCUACGGGAGACAGCAGUAGGGAAUAUUGCACAAUGGGGGAAACCCUGAUGCAGCAACGCCGCGUGGGGGAUGAAGGUUUUAUGAAUGUAAACCCCUUUUGUCAGAGAAGAUAAUGACGGUAUCUCAGGAAUAAGCCCCGGCCAACUCCGUGCCAGCCGCCGCGGUAAUACGGAGGGUGCAAGCGUUACUCGGAAUCACUGGGCGUAAAGGGUGCGCAGGCGGGGUUGUAAGUCAGAGGUGAAAUCCUGUAGCUUAACUACAGAACUGCAUUUGAAACUAUGGGUCUAGAGUGUGGGAGAGGUAGGUGGAAUUCUUGGUGUAGCGGUAAAAUCCGUAGAUAUCAGGAGGAAUACUCAUGGCGAAGGCGACCUACUGGAACAUUACUGACGCUGAUGCACGAAAGCGUGGGGAGCAAACAGGAUUAGAUACCCCAGUAGUC